rnacentral:rRNA from 1 species
UACAGAGGGGGCAAGCGUUGUUCGGAAUUACUGGGCGUAAAGGGCGCGUAGGCGGCCCGCUAAGUCGGACGUGAAAUCUCCGGGCUCAACCCGGGAACUGCGUCCGAUACUGGAUGGCUUGAAUCCGGGAGAGGGAUGUGGAAUUCCAGGUGUAGCGGUGAAAUGCGUAGAUAUCUGGAGGAACACCGGUGGCGAAGGCGGCAUCCUGGACCGGUAUUGACGCUGAGGCGCGAAAGCCAGGGGAGCAAACGGG